AGCAGUCGCCACGGUAAUACGGAGGGUGCAAGCGUUAAUCGGAAUUACUGGGCGUAAAGCGCACGCAGGCGGUUUGUUAAGUCAGAUGUGAAAUCCCCGAGCUUAACUUGGGAACUGCAUUUGAAACUGGCAAGCUAGAGUCUUGUAGAGGGGGGUAGAAUUCCAGGUGUAGCGGUGAAAUGCGUAGAGAUCUGGAGGAAUACCGAUGGCGAAGGCAGCCCCCUGGGAUAACACUGACGCUCAUGCACGAAAGCGUGGGGAGCAAACAGGAUUAGAUACCCGAGUAGUCCCUGUCUCUUAUAC
rnacentral:rRNA from 1 species